UGUAGUUGUCCCCAUUCACAGGUUGUUCUUGAACAGGAGACUGAGAGAAGCAAGUGGAUUAACUUCAAAUUGCUUCCUGCUAAGGUAGGUUGAUAAUUUCAGGUGAGUGCUGCUCCUU